GCCCAUCCCGAUGCCACUCUCUUAGGGACUCCUUCUCUCUGCAGUUCUCACUGCCCUUUCCCCUAGUGACUCGCCCGCCGCCUGCUGUCACCUCCUAUUUUGAGAUCAUUGGCUGGGACAUUACCGCACAGACCACCGCAAGCCUGGAAGGUUCCUGGGUGCCUCCUCCUUCCUUCAUCACAUUUUGUCCCCCCACUCCACCACCCCCCCCUUAUUUUAACUCUUGAGAUAGGAUUUCAUCGUACAGCAAAAGCUGGCUUAAAUUUGUGGCAAUCCUCCUGCCUCAGCCUACCUCUCCACUGCUGGGAUUACAGGCAAGCGCUUUAAUCCAAGCCCACGCAUUUAAUUAGCAGCGACUCCCUUGCCAUUCUACCAUCCUGAGUCUAGAAGGAUAUCUAGAUGUCAAAUGUCUUAUUGAUCAACACCCCUCUGGAGCAGUUCAGGGCAUUAUUGAUACCUGCCCUGGUUUGAGAAGAGUUAGAGUUGAUGCUGUUCAUGUGAGAUGUGCUAGCAAGGUCUCUGGUGGCUGGCUCGCUAAUGUGGAUCCCACCCGAGCUUCAUUUGUGACUUGGGUAAUGCCUGCUGAGGUCAGUGAAUGGUGGAGAGGGUGAGGUCAUGGUGAAAAUCCCCCUAAACCGGACACUGUGAUGCGCGUUCUUCCCAAGGAAGCAGAUAAGCCUACAGCAUAGGACUGCGGCAGGACAUUUUAGGUUUCCUGCCAGAUUACAGAGGAUAUGACUGGCAAGAGACUUUUUUUUUUUCCUGUCAUAACAGCAGAUCAGGCCAGGACACCUGAAAAGACUCCUGAUGACACACGUGACAAAUGACAGCUGGGUUGCCUGUGUGAGUGUGUAGCAAGGACCUCAGAAGCCAACUUCUUCAUUCUUUGUCAGUUUCAAAGGGGAAAGGCGGUUGAUGCCUGUCUGGUUUUGUCUCAAUAUUUUUUGCUGCUGGUUUUGGGCUCGUGCAACUGGAGAACUUCCUGUGUGUUAAGGAUCCAGGGGUAAGAGGUCAGCACAGUGAGAGGCCAGUGCACAAGUUUAAAUCUAAAAACCAGCACUAAGUCAAUCAGUUACUGUCAUUUGGAUUGGUGACUGAGAAGCCCGUGACUCAGUACACUGGCUGCAAUAAACAAUACCUGGAGUGGAAUUAUUUCCUAUUACACCCACCAAAACUUUAGAGUGGACCUGAGCCUGCAGAGUAGACCAUCUGCAAAGUGGGCUCAGUUCACAGCCAACAUCCAUGGAUGUAGGGUCAGGCCUAAUGUAAGACAAAAGCCUGCUGGGAGUGAAUGGACAGCCUCUAGAUAGCUUUGACCACUCCCUGUUAGGAGUGCCCUGUUCUAGAGCCAGGAAGAAAAUAGCUUCCACCCAGGACAGGCAGGUAGUACAAAGCCCCUGAGUUACUGCCAGUUUCUAAGAUGAACUCCUUAGCAAAAACAGAGGAGGGAAGUGCCUACGUUAGAUUAACUACCUACAUUUUCCUGAGGUGUGCACAACAUAAUGGAAAAGCAAGGAUGCCUAGGAGGCAGGAAGGGAUUCCUGCCCUGCCAGUUCUUGUUGGGACAUGUAGUGCAGCAGAGAGGCUGUUCAAAGUCCUGAAUGGAAGGAACCUUUCCUUGGAACGAAUUUGGCUUGGGGUGAGCCUGGCUGCUCUAAUCAGGGUUUCUGGAAAGAAACCUUUAAAGGCCCACCUGGGGUUUGGCUGCUGCUCUUAACUGGUAAUCAAGACCCUUUGUAAGCAUGAAAAAGUGAGUCCGUUGAGUGGUUCUUCGAAAGUUAAACGUAGAACCGCCACGUGACCCAGCAGCCCCACUCCUAGGUAUAUAUCCCAGAGAACUGAGAACACUGCUCAUUCAUCCAUGUUCAUGGCAGCGCUGUUAAUAACAAAAUAAACUCGUAACACUCAACCACCCAAAUGCCCGUUGGUGACUGAAUGGAUGAACAAAGUGUGAUUCAUAGAAGCAAUAGAUUGUGCGGUCAUAAAAAGGGUGAAAGUACUGAUAGAAGGGGCUGGGAGAAGGCUUGGCGUUUAAAGUGCCUGUUGUACGAGCAUGAGGGCUGUGGUUCUAAUCCCCCAGAGCCCAUGAAAAUGCCAAGUGGAAUUGGUGGCUUGGAAGAUAGGAGAUAGGAUUCCAGAGCACGCUGGCUAGCUAGAGAAGCCAAAUCAGCAAGCUCUGGAUCCAAGUGAGAGAACCUGCCUCGGUGAAUAAGGUGCAUUCACACGCACACACAUGUCCAUACACAUGCAGUAUAUGUGUGGCAGCAGUGGGGACCGGGACACCGCUACACGUCUCCAGAACACAUCUAUGAGCUGUUGAUGGCCAGCUGAAACCUCAGCUCACCCUCCAUCUGGAGCCUGUGCUGGUCAAAGGCAUGCAUCAGUGUGAAACAUGUAGACACACCUCACUGUGAAACCUCAAACCCAUGGACAGGCACUACACACAGCCCUGCGCACACAUCGGAGACUCUUCCCGGAAUCCCCAAAACAUGCCGCUCGCUCUAUCUCGUUUAUCUUCCGCUACCACUCUGUGUGUGUGUGUGUUGGGGGGUGUGCAGGUGCAUACUCCCCUGGGUGAGCAUACAGAGGUCAGAGAAGGAUGUUAAGACAAGGUCUCAUUGACGCAGAAGUUCCCCAUUUCAGCUAGACUGAGACCUGGAUGGCCACUCUCUUUGUCCCCUGGGGGUUAUAGGCGACUCAGUGGUACCCAGCUUUUUUACAUGGGUGCUAUACACUUGAACUCAUUCUUGCAGAGCAAGCACUCCUGCUCACUGAGCCAUCUCCCCAACUGUCCUCCAUUUUGCCCCCUUAAAAUAGGGUCUCAGUACAGAGCUCAGGCUGGUCUCAUACUUUAAAUAAAUUCUCCCACCUCAGCCACCUGAGUGUAUACUGGGAUGAUAGGUGUACGCCACCAUGCCUGCUUCUCCUGUCAGUUUGAAAGAUGGGAGGUUCUUGUUUUCUUGACGGAAACAAGAAUCAUUUAAACACCGGUUCUGCUUCCCCAGGGAAAUUCGAAUCUGCUCCCAAUCUGGUGGUAGCUGCUUUCCCAUGGAACACUGAGUUAGCAGGCUUGGACCUGCCACUUCUGGCAACCACUCUCCCGUGGCUGGCUGGCAGGCUCAGUUUUCAGGUAUUGUCACAUGUCACAGCCUGCUAAGCUGGCCUUUGCCUCACUAAAAAAAAAAAAAUGCCUAGAUGGAAUACGUCAGCUGGUUGCGUUUGUCACACAGCCAUAAAGGCUCAUCCAGGGGUGCCGAGAAAUGGUCCACGUGGCUUUUGUCUAUCUGUGACAAGGCUCCUGGAGCAAAUAAUGUCAUCAGCUCAUCCUUCAGACUCUGCUGUCAGCUGCUAAGGAAAACGUCGAGGAAGGAAGGACUCAGGGCAAGGCAGCAGCUGCUGAGUCAGAAUGAUGGUAUUGGAAGGCUUAGAGGAGAGGCUGUCAAGGCCAGGUUCCUCCUGCUGCAGUGUUAGCCUUCUGUGGCCCUGCCAGGAUCCAUCGGGAAGAGGAGAGGAGGCAGCAGAAGCCAGGGGAAGUGGCUCAAGACGUGACCAAGAAUGUUGUGCUUGUGACUGCUUGAGCUGAAACAGGAGAAAACAAAACAAAAACAACAACAAAAACUCCUUUAGGUAGAGAGCUCAGCCACUGUUCCAUCCGAACCAGUGUGACUCACAGUCACACAUGGUUCCUUUCCUAAAUCAGAGAAAUCAUGGACUAUAGUGAGGGAACUUGGUAAGAACUCAGUUGAUGGACCCCAUCUUGCCUUUCUUAUCUGUAAAAUGGGUCAUUACAUGUAAAGAGUGGUGAAGAUUAAAUAAUAUAGAUGUA